UACGGGGGGGGCGAGCGUUGUUCGGAAUUACUGGGCGUAAAGGGUUUGUAGGUGGCCUGCUAAGUCAGACGUGAAAUCCCUCAGCUUAACUGGGGAACUGCGUCUGAUACUGGCGGGCUUGAGGACAGGAGAGGAACGCGGAAUUCCAGGUGUAGCGGUGAAAUGCGUAGAUAUCUGGAGGAACACCGGUGGCGAAGGCGGCUUCCUGGACCGACACUGACGCUGAGGCGCGAAAGCUAGGGGAGCAAACGGG
rnacentral:rRNA from 1 species